rnacentral:rRNA from 1 species
AGGUAUGCUUAGGGAGGAGCUUGCGUCACAUUAGUUAGUUGGUGGGGUAAAGGCCUACCAAGACUAUGAUGUGUAGCCGGGCUGAGAGGUUGAACGGCCACAUUGGGACUGAGACACGGCCCAAACUCCUACGGGAGGCAGCAGUAGGGAAUUUUCGGCAAUGGAGGAAACUCUGACCGAGCAACGCCGCGUGAACGAUGAAGUAUUUCGGUACGUAAAGUUCUUUUAUUAGGGAAGAAUAAAUGAUGGAAAAAUCAUUCUGACGGUACCUAAUGAAUAAGCCCCGGCUAACUAUGUGCCAGCAGCCGCGGUAAUACAUAGGGGGCAAGCGUUAUCCGGAAUUAUUGGGCGUAAAGGGUGCGUAGGCGGUUAAAUAAGUUUAUGGUCUAAGUGCAAUGCUCAACAUUGUGAUGCUAUAAAAACUGUUUAGCUAGAGUAAGAUAGAGGCAAGUGGAAUUCCAUGUGUAGUGGUAAAAUGCGUAAAUAUAUGGAGGAACACCAGUAGCGAAGGCGGCUUGCUGGGUCUUUACUGACGCUGAGGCACGAAAGCGUGGGGAGCAAACAGGAUUAGAUACCCUGGUAGUCCACGCCGUAAACGAUGAGUACUAAACGUUGGGUAAAACCAGUGUUGAAGUUAACACAUUAAGUACUCCGCCUGAGUAGUACGUACGCAAGUAUGAAACUUAAAGGAAUUGACGGGACUCCGCACAAGCGGUGGAUCAUGUUGUUUAAUUCGAAGGUACCCGAAAAACCUCACCAGGUCUUGACAUGCUUCUGCAAAACUGUANAAACACAGUGGAGGUUAUCAGUUGCACAGGUGGUGCAUGGUUGUCGUCAGCUCGUGUCGUGAGAUGUUGGGUUAAGUCCCGCAACGAGCGCAACCCUUAUUGUUAGUUACCAGCACGUAAUGGNGGGGACUUUAGC